rnacentral:lncRNA from 1 species
UUAAACAUUUAUAUUUUAAUAUUCAACAAAAUAGAGGUGUUUUCUGGUAAUAUAUAUAAAUAUAUAUAAAGUUCGGCUAUGGUGCUUGUAAAUUUUUUAUCGUUAGAUCUAUCAUUUUGAUCAUUUUUAUCUGUUAGAUCAUACUAUUCAACCAACCACCCACUCAACCUUAGAGAUCUCACAUCAUCCUAACCGCACAUCUCUUAAUCCAAUGGUCAAAAAUAUAUAAGUACCAAUAACAUAAUAUUUUUAAAAGUAUAGAAACCCAAUUUUAUAUAUAUAUAUAUAUAUAUAUAUAUAUAUAUAUAAAAUUCAAAAGGGCCGUGAAGAUUUACUAAUACUUCAAAUCUGACCAAAACUGUCAGGAAUAUACUGAUCAUAUUAUAUGUAUCAUAAUAAUAAAGUUUCAAAGGAGUUGGAAAACACCGCAAUAAGAGAUCAAGGAGCUACCACCAAACAUAUAGUUCCACUAAGUAAUUAAUGAGACUGCAACCGACAGUCCCUAGAGCAAGUGGCAAAGGGCUUGGUGGUUGGUAUCUGAGACCCAAAUUCGAAUCCUAGUUGAUUCACAUUUUCAGCUAAGUUUAUUUCUAAACAAAAUAAACGAAACGGAUAGCGUGCUACCUAUCUCUCAAAAAAAAAAAAAAAUAAUGAGACUGCAGGAACCAAGCUAUAGAGAGAGAAAGAGAGAGCUCAAUAUAUACAAGGGAGGGAAUCAUGGGAAUGGUUAUGUUGUUAAACGAAUUAAUACUUGGAAUGUUCUUCCAACA